UACGUAGGGGGCAAGCGUUGUCCGGAAUUACUGGGCGUAAAGCGUGCGCAGGCGGUUUUGUAAGUUUGUCGUGAAAUCCCCGGGCUCAACCUGGGAAUGGCGAUGAAGACUGCAAGGCUAGAAUCUGGCAGAGGGGGGUAGAAUUCCACGUGUGAGCAGUGAAAUGACGUAGAGAUGUGGAGGAACACCGGUGGCGAAGGCGGGUCUCUGGGCAUUCCUGACGCUGAGGCGCGAAAGCGUGGGGAGCAAACGGG
rnacentral:rRNA from 1 species